ACUGAGUGGCGGACGGGUGAGUAACGCGUGGGUAACCUGCCCUGUACAGGGGGAUAACAGUUAGAAAUGACUGCUAACACCGCAUAAGCGCAUACAGCCGCAUGGCAGUAUGCGGAAAGCUCCGGCGGCAUGGGAUGGGCCCGCGCCCGAUUAGCCAGUUGGCGGGGUAACGGCCCACCAAAGCGACGAUCGGUAGCCGGCCUGAGAGGGCGGACGGCCACAUUGGGACUGAGACACGGCCCAAACUCCUACGGGAGGCAGCAGUGGGGAAUAUUGCACAAUGGGGGAAACCCUGAUGCAGCAACGCCGCGUGGGUGAAGGAGCGUUUCGGCGCGUAAAGCCCUGUCAGCGGGGAAGAAGAAAGACGGUACCCGACCAAGAAGCCCCGGCUAACUACGUGCCAGCAGCCGCGGUAAUACGUAGGGGGCGAGCGUUAUCCGGAAUUACUGGGUGUAAAGGGAGCGUAGACGGCGAGGUAAGCCUGAAGUGGAAGCCCGCGGCCCAACCGCGGAACUGCUUUGGGAACUGUUUUGCUGGAGUAUGGGAGGGGUAAGCGGAAUUCCUG
rnacentral:rRNA from 1 species